CCAGUUGGCUAUUUACACGCAUGACCGAGGAGUUGAACUGGGGUCUACUAAGAAACAACUCCAGCUUAGUGGUCAGCUAAGUGGUAAGCUAACAACUCCACUAAGCUGGAGUUGUUUCAUGGUAGACCCCAGUUCAACUCCUUUGAUGUUUGCUUAAUUAAAACCAAUUAAUGUUUAGAGGUCAGGAGGUUUCAACCAAGUGUUUUGAAAGAAAUCUGGAUUUUGGCUGGCAUUGCUUUUCUACGCUCUGUGCGCCACCAACUCAGCCAAUCUGAUGCACACCAGAACUAAUCGCGACUUGGUCACAUGCGUUUUCCCGCGCUUGGCGCCGGUCACGUGCAUUUACUUCGAGUUUUCAUUGGUUCCUUGUGUUGUUCAUGAUGGGUGUGAUUGGCUGUUUGUCUAUUUGCUCCGGUUUUGUGACGCUCAAGUAAAAACCGCUCUGUAAACUUGUUUCGAGCUCUUGUUUCUCUUUAAUUAUCCACAGCAUAGCGACAUGUCUUGGUGCGAGAACAGUGGCCGCUAAAGCACUAGAGUGGACUAAGAACCACAAGGUUAUUAAUCACGUGUGUAGCGACGAAGAAGCUGUAUUAGCAUGCGAAAGAUUCGCUGAUGAUCAUCGUAUGUUAGUUGAACCGGCCUGUGGCGCCGCCCUUGCGUGUGUGUACGAACGUCUUUUCAAAGCGUGGCAGGAACAGGGAAAGCUAGGGGAACUAAAAUCCACUCUUGUUAUUGUUUGCGGCGGGAAUUUAGUGUCAAUGAAGGCAAUGAAAGAAUGGAAGGAUAAACUUGGGCUCAGUUAAGGUGGGGCCGGAAAACGUCAUGUCAUCGCCGGGUCGGAAAGUCAAGGAAUGGUGUCUUUCUCUACAAGGGAUCUUCGGAGAUAAUCGGAACUAAAUCGGAAACCGUCGUGAGAACUCUAAAAAUGCUUGAGCUCUUUUCCUAUUCUACAAAUUAUUCCGCUGGUUUGCGUCCAUCCUCGGAGACCUAGGGGCAGCUAGUCGGGUAAACUUUCGCCCGACAAUAUCGCGUCGUCUCGACUAGCUGCCCUUGGAUCUCCGAGGAUGGUUUUCGGCUCAUUCUCCCAGGUUUAACCACAACAAUAUAUAAUAGAUGAUAUUUCAAUUAUGGUGCUAUUCGACUGCAAAUAUAGCUGUCAUAACUCGGGAAGAAUUCAAUGUUGUAAAAAGGUAUUUAAUGGAACGUCAAGUCCUUCUUCAUAAUGUAAUUCUAAGCAUCGAUCAUUUUUAAUAGUUUCAAGUCAACCGUGACGGUUUGACCGAAGGAAAUCGUUAGUACUUUUUAAAAGGUAAUAAAAUGCAUAUAGUAAAACGGGGAACUUUUCUCACAAUGAAUACUUUUAACUCUUACCUUGUUUGCGUAAAAGGCAAAACAUUAAAAAAACUUUUUUACCACGUG